AUUGAACGCUGGCGGAAUGCUUUACACAUGCAAGUCGAACGGCAGCACGGACUUCGGUCUGGUGGCGAGUGGCGAACGGGUGAGUAAUGUAUCGGAACGUGCCCAGUCGUGUGGGAUAACGUAGUGAAAAUUACGCUAAUACCGCAUACGAUCUAUGGAUGAAAGCGGGGGAUCGCAAGACCUCGCGCGAUUGGAGCGGCCGAUAUCAGGUUAGGUAGUUGGUGGGGUAAAGGCCCACCAAGCCAACGAUCUGUAGCUGGUCUGAGAGGACGACCAGCCACACUGGAACUGAGACACGGUCCAGACCCCUACGGGAGGCAGCAGUGGGGAAUUUUGGACAAUGGGCGAAAGCCUGAUCCAGCCAUUCCGCGUGCAAGAUGAAGGCCCUCGGGUUGUAAACUGCUUUUGUACAGAACGAAAAGGUUUCUACUAAUACUAGGAGCUCAUGACGGUACUGUAAGAAUAAGCACCGGCUAACUACGUGCCAGCCGCCGCGGUAA
rnacentral:rRNA from 1 species